rnacentral:rRNA from 1 species
UAUGUGAUCGUCUCUCGCAUAUCAAUAAGCGGAGGAAAAGAAACUAACAAGGAUUCCCCUAGUAACGGCGAGUGAAGCGGGAAGAGCUCAAAUUUGAAAUCUUAAAGGGUUUCCCUUUACGAAUUGUAGUUUAAAGAAGUGUUUUCUGUUGAGGUUUUGGUAAAAGUUCUUUGGAAUAGGACAUCAUAGAGGGUGAGAAUCCCGUAUUUGACCUUUACUUUCAACUUUGUGAUACACUUUCAAAGAGUCGGAUUGUUUGGGAAUGCAGUCCAAAAUGGGUGGUAAAUUUCAUCUAAAGCUAAAUAUUGGCGAGAGACCGAUAGCGAACAAGUACCGUGAGGGAAAGAUGAAAAGAACUUUGAAAAGAGAGUUAAACAGUACGUGGAAUUGUCAAAAGGGAAGCGUUUGACACCAGUGUUGUUUUUCUGAAAAUCAAUUAAAGAACUGUUUAUGCUAAGCUGUUUAGACUUUAUCAGCUAACUGUUUAGUUUUGAGCUUUUCUUUAUGCACUUUUCAGUAACAAGUCAACAUCAAUUUCUUUUGCUGUAAAAAAGCUUGAGGAAGGUGGCUUGAGAUUCGUCUUAAGUGUUUAUAGCCUCUUGCCUAUGCAGUCGGAGAGAUUGAGGUCUGCAGCGUAGAUCCUUCGGGGCUAAAUGCAUUUGUGCUAAGUUAUAGCAUUUUAUAGACAACUUGUUGACUAUGAUUUGUCUUGUAGCUUACUCGCUUAUGUUAUUUUACCUACGCUUAGGAUGUUGAGUAGCGACAUACGCAC